GCGUUCUGUAAGCCUGUGAAGGUGAGUUGAGAAGCUUGCUGGAGGUAUCAGAAGUGCGAAUGCUGACAUGAGUAACGACAAUGGGUGUGAAAAACACCCACGCCGAAAGACCAAGGGUUCCUGCGCAACGUUAAUCGACGCAGGGUUAGUCGGUUCCUAAGGCGAGGCUGAAAAGCGUAGUCGAUGGGAAACAGGUUAAUAUUCCUGUACUUCUGGUUACUGCGAUGGAGGGACGGAGAAGGCUAGGCCAGCUUGGCGUUGGUUGUCCAAGUUUAAGGUGGUAGGCUGAAAUCUUAGGUAAAUCCGGGGUUUCAAGGCCGAGAGCUGAUGACGAGUCGUCUUUUAGAUGACGAAGUGGUUGAUGCCAUGCUUCCAAGAAAAGCUUCUAAGCUUCAGGUAACCAGGAACCGUACCCCAAACCGACACAGGUGGUCGGGUAGAGAAUACCAAGGCGCUUGAGAGAACUCGGGUGAAGGAACUAGGCAAAAUGGCACCGUAACUUCGGGAGAAGGUGCGCCGGCUAGGGUGAAGGAUUUACUCCGUAAGCUCUGGCUGGUCGAAGAUACCAGGCCGCUGCGACUGUUUAUUAAAAACACAGCACUCUGCAAACACGAAAGUGGACGUAUAGGGUGUGACGCCUGCCCGGUGCCGGAAGGUUAAUUGAUGGGGUUAGCGCAAGCGAAGCUCUUGAUCGAAGCCCCGGUAAACGGCGGCCGUAACUAUAACGGUCCUAAGGUAGCGAAAUUCCUUGUCGGGUAAGUUCCGACCUGCACGAAUGGCGUAACGAUGGCGGCGCUGUCUCCACCCGAGACUCAGUGAAAUUGAAAUCGCUGUGAAGAUGCAGUGUAUCCGCGGCUAGACGGAAAGACCCCGUGAACCUUUACUGUAGCUUUGCACUGGACUUUGAGCCUGCUUGUGUAGGAUAGGUGGGAGGCUUUGAAGCGUGGACGCCAGUUCGCGUGGAGCCAUCCUUGAAAUACCACCCUGGCAUGCUUGAGGUUCUAACUCUGGUCCGUAAUCCGGAUCGAGGACAGUGUAUGGUGGGCAGUUUGACUGGGGCGGUCUCCUCCUAAAGAGUAACGGAGGAGUACGAAGGUGCGCUCAGACCGGUCGGAAAUCGGUCGCAGAGUAUAAAGGCAAAAGCGCGCUUGACUGCGAGACAGACACGUCGAGCAGGUACGAAAGUAGGUCUUAGUGAUCCGGUGGUUCUGUAUGGAAGGGCCAUCGCUCAACGGAUAAAAGGUACUCCGGGGAUAACAGGCUGAUACCGCCCAAGAGUUCAUAUCGACGGCGGUGUUUGGCACCUCGAUGUCGGCUCAUCACAUCCUGGGGCUGAAGCCGGUCCCAAGGGUAUGGCUGUUCGCCAUUUAAAGUGGUACGCGAGCUGGGUUUAGAACGUCGUGAGACAGUUCGGUCCCUAUCUGCCGUGGACGUUUGAGAUUUGAGAGGGGCUGCUCCUAGUACGAGAGGACCGGAGUGGACGAACCUCUGGUGUUCCGGUUGUCACGCCAGUGGCAUUGCCGGGUAGCUAUGUUCGGAAAAGAUAACCGCUGAAAGCAUCUAAGCGGGAAACUUGCCUCAAGAUGAGAUCUCACUGGGAACUUGAUUCCCCUGAAGGGCCGUCGAAGACUACGACGUUGAUAGGCUGGGUGUGUAAGCGUUGUGAGGCGUUGAGCUAACCAGUACUAAUUGCCCGUGAGGCUUGACCAU
rnacentral:rRNA from 2 species